UACGUAGGGGGCUAGCGUUGUUCGGAAUUACUGGGCGUAAAGGGCGCGUAGGCGGCGUGUCAAGUCAGGCGUGAAAGCCCCGGGCUCAACCUGGGAACCGCGCUUGAGACUGGCAUGCUCGGAGUUCGGGAGAGGAUGGUGGAAUUCCCAGUGUAGAGGUGAAAUUCGUGAGAUAUUGGGAAGAACGACCGAUGGCGAAGGCAGCU
rnacentral:rRNA from 1 species